rnacentral:lncRNA from 9 species
AAGGACUUUCCCAGAGCCCCACUGCUGUAAAUUACAAUGCAAAAGAAAGCAGCAGUCAGGUGUUAUUCCCCUGGAAAUGGUGCAUCUGGGUGAGGCCUGAGCAGCAAGCAGUGCAUGCUGAAGAAUCCAAGGGAAGGUGGAGUCAUUUACGUUGGGGACAAAAUAGAGCUGGCCAGUGCGGGCACGUUUACAAAAAUGAAAUGUAACUUAACAUAAAUUGCAGGAAUUUCCACCUCUUCUCAGAAACCAACAAAGGACCCCAGCUGAUCCCCGAACCCCAAUUCUGUUCAGGCCGCUUGUGGAAUUCUGUGUUGCCCUGACCCAACUCCCCUGAUAUAAAUAAGGAAGAAGGAGUUCCCAUUCUGGCUCCCAACAAUAACGAACCCAACUCUACACAUGAGAACGCAGAUUCAAUCCCUGGCCGCGCUCAGUGGGUUAAAGGAUCCAGCUUUACCAUGAGCUGGGAUGGAGGGUACAGACAUGGCUCAGAUCUGGCAUUGCCGUGGCUGUGGUGUAGGCCGGCAGGUGCAGCUCCUAUUUGACCCCCACCCUGGGAACGUCCAUAUGCCAUGAGUGGGGCCCUCAAAAAGAACGGCAAAGUAAAUAAAUAAAUAAAUAAGACCACGAGGCACACAUCAGCUGAAAAACCCGAAUAACUUACCCAUGUUCCCCAUAAAAACCCUUUAGUCUGUGAGCCACUCGGGGUCAUUGCUCCCAUAGGCUUGCACUUCCCAGAUGGCUGUUGAAACACUUGGAAUAAACUCAUCUUUCUGCUUUGUUUUACUCGGUCUGCAGAGUUUGCCUUCUGACCAUACCUAUACCCAAAGGUGACUCUGUGCACGGGUGUUCUCUAACGUACGCGCCCACAGACCAGCCUAGUGGGAAAAUGGGACGGCUUGGCACACGCCCGUUGGUUUGUGGUACACGAGCCGGAGGAGCUGUUCCAGACCCUGCAUCCAGGGUUUACAGAGAGCCAGUGGAGGAGCUGCUCCACUCUACGCGGGGGACUUCGACACCCUGA